rnacentral:rRNA from 1 species
GGGUGCGAUCAUACAAGCACUAAUGCACCGGGUCGAAUCAGAACUCCGCGGUUAAGCGUGUUUGGGCGAGAAUAGUACUAGGAUGGGUGAACUCCCCGGAAGUCCUCGUGUUGCACCCG